rnacentral:rRNA from 1 species
UACGAAGGGUGCAAACGUUGCUCGGAAUUAUUGGGCGUAAAGGGCUCGUAGGUUGCCAACUAAGUCAGACGUGAAAUCCCUCGGCUUAACCGGGGAACUGCGUCUGAUACUGGAUGGCUUGAGUUCGGGAGAGGGAUGCGGAAUUCCAGGUGUAGCGGUGAAAUGCGCAGAUAUCUGGAGGAACACCGGUGGCGAAGGCGGCAUCCUGGACCGACACUGACACUGAGGAGCGAAAGCCAGGGGAGCAAACGGG